rnacentral:rRNA from 1 species
UCGGGAAUUUUGGGCAAUGGGCGAAAGCCUGACCCAGCAACGCCGCGUGAAGGAUGAAGUAUUUCGGUAUGUAAACUUCGAAAGAAUAGGAAGAAUAAAUGACGGUACUAUUUAUAAGGUCCGGCUAACUACGUGCCAGCAGCCGCGGUAAUACGUAGGGACCAAGCGUUGUUCGGAUUUACUGGGCGUAAAGGGCGCGUAGGCGGCAAUUCAAGUCAUCUGUGAAAUCUCCGGGCUUAACUCGGAACGGUCAGAUGAUACUGGAUGGCUUGAAUUCGGGAGAGGGAUGCGGAAUUCCAGGUGUAGCGGUGAAAUGCGUAGAUAUCUGGAGGAACACCGGUGGCGAAGGCGGCAUCCUGGACCAACACUGACACUGAGGAGCGAAAGCCAGGGGAGCAAACGGGAUUAGAUACCCACGUAGUCCCUGAGCGGGCUGGCAAGGCGCAU